rnacentral:lncRNA from 1 species
ACCGGUCUCUUCAUUAUUUUUGAGGACAUUUUGAUUGGCUACCUUGAGUAGUUUAGGCGCUUUAGGUUGUGGCAUUCCCUGUUGCUGCCUCAUCAUCCGUCCGUAGUUUCGUUGGAAACGCUUUUGUUGGGUCCUAGUCAUCUCAUCGAAGGGUAUUGCCCUUCCUGCAUUGUACUGGAAUGAAUGCCAUACAUUUGGCCGG